rnacentral:rRNA from 1 species
GACGAACGCUGGCGGCGUGCCUAAUACAUGCAAGUCGAGCGGACCAAAGGGAGCUUGCUCCUGGAGGUCAGUGGCGAACGGGUGAGUAACACGUGGGCAACCUGCCUGUAAGACUGGGAUAACAUCGAGAAAUCGGUGCUAAUACCGGAUAAUAAAAAGAACUGCAUGGUUCUUUUUUGAAAGAUGGUUUCGGCUAUCACUUACAGAUGGGCCCGCGGCGCAUUAGCUAGUUGGUGAGGUAACGGCUCACCAAGGCAACGAUGCGUAGCCGACCUGAGAGGGUGAUCGGCCACACUGGGACUGAGACACGGCCCAGACUCCUACGGGAGGCAGCAGUAGGGAAUCUUCCGCAAUGGACGAAAGUCUGACGGAGCAACGCCGCGUGAGUGAUGAAGGUUUUCGGAUCGUAAAACUCUGUUGUUAGGGAAGAACAAGUGCCGUUCGAAAGGGCGGCACCUUGACGGUACCUAACGAGAAAGCCACGGCCAACUACGUGCCAGCAGCCGCGGUAA